rnacentral:rRNA from 1 species
UGAGGAAUAUUGGUCAAUGGGCGGAAGCCUGAACCAGCCAUGCCGCGUGCCGGAAGACGGCCCUACGGGCUGUAAACGGCUUUUGGCGGGGAGGAAUAAGGGCCGUUCUGGGCCCGAUGCCCGUACCCGCCGAAUAAGGAUCGGCUAACUCCGUGCCAGCAGCCGCGGUAAUACGGGGGAUCCGAGCGUUAUCCGGAUUUACUGGGUUUAAAGGGUGCGCAGGCGGCGGGGUCCGUCCGCGGUGAAACGCCGGGGCUCAACCCCGGCCUUGCCGUGGAAACCGCCCCGCUUGGAUACGGUCGAGGCUGGCGGAACGCGUGGUGUAGCGGUGAAAUGCUUAGAGAUCACGUGGAAGGCCGAUUGCGGAGGCAGCUGGCCAGGCCGGGAUUGACGCUGAGGCACGAAAGCGUGGGGAGCGAACAGG